rnacentral:rRNA from 1 species
CCAGGAAAAGCCCCUAAGCUUCAGACUGACGAUAGAACCGUACCGUAAUCCGACACAGGUAGGCAGGGUGAGAAUCCCAAGGGCGCUUAGAGAGAACUCGGGUGAAGGAACUAGGCAACAUAGCACCGUAACGAUAACGGUCCUAAGGUAGCGAAAUUCCUUGUCGGGGUAAGUUCCGACCUGCACGAAUGGUGUAACGACAGCGGCGCUGUCUCCACCCGAGACUCAGUGAAAUUGAAAUCGCUGUGAAGAUGCAGCGUUCCCGCGGCAAGACGGAAAGACCCCGUGAACCUUUACUAUAGCUUUACAUUGAACGUUGAGUUCGUCUGUGUAGGAUAGGUGGGAGCCUGUGAAGCGUUGGCGCUAGCUGGCGUGGAGGCAACCUUGAAAUACCACCCUGAUGUGCUUGACGUUCUAACCUGGGGCCCGUAAUCCGGGUCGGGGGACCAUGUAUGGUGGGUAGUUUGACUGGGG